AUUUAUAUAGUUUAAUAUAAAACAUUACAUUUUCAUUGUAAAAAUAAAAGUUCAAUUUUUAUAAAUA
rnacentral:tRNA from 1 species